AGCAAAUUCGUUCCACACUAUAUAUAUAGUUAUCCAUGCUAUACUAACGAUACGUUUAGUUAACUAUCCAUUCACAAAAUCUAGUUUACAUACCAGCGAUUUGAGGCUGUCUGUUUGAUAUAUCUUAUCAUUGCUUCAAGAUGUAUGCAACUCAAGUGCUGGCAACAUUUGCUUUGGCUUCCCUCUUUCUGGUGGCUCUGACGGCAGCAGAUGAAACCUCUACCACUGCAGCGCCAGAUGUGAAUCCAGGCCUAGUAAAAGUCGUAACAGACCUAGUCACCGGCUUGACAAAAGCAAUAUUUAAUUUGAUAGGAAACCUUGUAUAACAGAAAUAGAUGAUUCAUCGGAUAUUUCAUUGAUUUCUUCUCUUGUAGUCCAUAGAUGAAUGUUAUAAAACUGCACUGAAUAAAAAUUUCUAAUAUAUA